AGUGAACGCUGGCGGUAGGCCUAACACAUGCAAGUCGAACGGCAGCACAGGAGAGCUUGCUCUCUGGGUGGCGAGUGGCGGACGGGUGAGGAAUACAUCGGAAUCUACUCUGUCGUGGGGGAUAACGUAGGGAAACUUACGCUAAUACCGCAUACGACCUACGGGUGAAAGCAGGGGACCUUCGGGCCUUGCGCGAUUGAAUGAGCCGAUGUCGGAUUAGCUAGUUGGCGGGGUAAAGGCCCACCAAGGCGACGAUCCGUAGCUGGUCUGAGAGGAUGAUCAGCCACACUGGAACUGAGAAACGGUCCGGACUCCUACGGGAGGCAGCAGUGGGGAAUAUUGGACAAUGGGCGCAAGCCUGAUCCAGCCAUACCGCGUGGGUGAAGAAGGCCUUCGGGUUGUAAAGCCCUUUUGUUGGGAAAGAAAUCCAGCUGGCUAAUACCCGGUUGGGAUGACGGUACCCAAAGAAUAAGCACCGGCUAACUUCGUGCCAGCAGCCGCCGUAA
rnacentral:rRNA from 1 species